CAGGGACUAGGCAGAGGAGGAAUGGUGGAGACCACCUCCCCAGCCUGACCCUUCCAGAGAAGAAGGAGACAGUUCAGAAUUACAACAGGAGUUUGAGGGAGAUCACAGCUCAUAGGCAGAUGAGGGGGAAAGCUGGGGAAUAAUGGGAGAGGAGGAGGAGGAGGAAGAAGAAGCACCAGGGGAGUGACAGCUGAUGGAUUCAGUGUCUUUAGAGAGCAUUCCAGACCUCCCUUCACUCCCAGAACAUGGCAGGCCUUGAAGGUAGGAGAGCAAAGAGCUCAUAGGCAGAUGGCACAUCCCAGCACCUGUAGUGAUGACUCAUGAGGAAGUGGGAGGGGUGGAGAUUCACUCGGAGCAAUGCCAUUAUUCUGAGGCCACAUCCCCAAGCUUCUCUCUGUGAAUAUUGAAUAAAAGCAGGUAGCAUGGACUUUCCCUUGUCUUGUCCAUUCCUGGCAACCUGCUGUGGAAGUUGGUUCCUCUGCACUUCUGUUAGUCGUCAGUGCUAAGAACUGAAGCCAAACAUUCAUUCAGCAAUACCUUCAGUGCCAUUAAUUUUUUCAAUGCUAGAAAAAUGCAACCUGUGCUGUUGAUAGAAGUAGUAUGACUCAUGCAACACGUUGGCGACUAAUAUACAUACAAUAAUUACCAAAAUGAUUAUGCUUUCUUUAUCAGUCUUCUGAGAAAAAUACAAAACCUUAUGCAAAGCCACAGAGACUUGCGAACUACCCAACCUAAGGUGAACUUAUAAUGUCUGAUUUCAAUGGGUUUUUCAAGUGCUUACCUCAGUCUUUUGUUUUAUUUAUCUUUUUAGGUAAGUUCAUGAAGAUGCCAACCAAAGGUAAGUUUGGUGUUCACAAUACCGAGAGAUGCUAGUGAAGUUGUAGUUGGAUGUUAAUGAAGUUGUAGACAACAGGGUGCCGGCGUUUUGCACCUGUUUCGCCCUGGCAAUCCAAGUAAUCAAGAGGCCGCUGUUCGCCCCCGAUGGGGCUCUUUUACUGGGGCUUGCAGAUAGCACACUCCCAAGGUAGUUUUCCGGGCUUCUUCAGUGGUCUAAUCUCAAAGCCUUGAUACGUAUAUUGAUAUUCAAUUUCAUAGAGAAUACUAUUUCUUGGCUUAAGCUUAAGAGACUGAUUUGCUUAAUUUUUUCAAAGCUGGGGUACACCUUUAACCCUAACUUGCAAUAUCACACCCACCUUUACAUUUUUCCCGUCUAUCCCUCUACCUCCCAUUCUCACUCUUCACCAGCCCUCUGCAAGUGCAGACAUUCAUACGCGCUCCAUCUCUUUAAAAAGUAGAAACCUUAGAAACCUUUUUUUUAAAAUUGUGCUAGUAGUGUUAGCAUGGUCCAUUUUAGGUUGGACCACAAAUCACCAGCUGAAGACCAACAGAGUGCCCUACAUCAUAUCAGCUCCCACAUUCCUGUUCUCUUAUUCCUUUGACUAAUUUUUCCUCCUGUGACAGAUGCUGCUAGAUGGUUCAUUUCUGCAGAGUAAUAACCCACAACUCAUGUAGAAAACCAAGGAGCCAAGGGCAUCUUAAUUUAACAUUUAUGUUCUCCAUUAUAUUAUAUAGUAGCAAUAAUAUGCUGUUCUAUUGACUUUUUCAUCAUUAUUUAUUUGUAUUGGCAGGACAUUCUACUCAAUGGAAUUGAAGGAGGCUUUUUGUUCUCCAAAGCUGAGAAGUGAAGGGAGAUACAUUUCAGCGUCUCAAAGAGAAAAGGGAUAUGCACAUAUUUCGACUUCUGGUUGAGUUAAAAUGGGGGGGGGGGGAAUUAUUCUACGAGGGUCAAUACAACAUCAGUAGCUUAUUCAUGUUUUAAGACAAAAAGAAACAAUGAAUUCAUACAUAAAAUUAAAUAAGUCAGCCCAGCCUGCUGUAGCAGCAUAUAUACACUAGAAAAUAUAAGAAAAUUAUCCAAGCUAAAAACCGGUUGAUAUAAAAGAUGCCUUUAAGAAUUGGUGGUGGCGGGGGUGUCAUUGCAAAACCACACAGUCCUUCAGAAGACCCAAUAUGACCACCCCACUUAAAAGAUAACUCAAGCAGAGUUGGCAAAGCUGACAAAUAAGCUACAGGAGAAGAACAACCGGGACUUCAAAGAAGACUGGGAACUUUUUACAUACUAUUUUUAAAAAAACACAGCAAAAUGAUUUGGAUUCUGUGGCAGGUUUUGAAUAAACAUCCACAAAUUUAUUAACAGAAUAUAGGACAGAUGAUGGAAUGAUAUGUACAGUUUUUUACAUGCAGAGAGCAAUAUGUGCAAAUAAAUCAGAGAGGGGAGCUGAGGGAAGUCUUGGGGGGGAGAGGAGGGAUGGGGGGAAUAAAAAGGGGGGAAAUGUAAUUGAUUAUUUGAAUAAUUUGUUUGGUUGAAAUUGUUUAAUAAAAAUAUUUUUUUUUUUUAAAAAAAAGGUAACUCAAGCACAUGCUUCUCAUACAAAAAGUCCUAAGUUAAGUCCCAC